rnacentral:lncRNA from 12 species
AGGGACAAAUGUGGAAAGCAGGAGAUGAGAAGUGAAGAAAAAGCCAGUGUCUACUAGAGGACAUCAGAAAUUGAGGGAAAGGCCCUCACUAUUCCAGAUAUGUGAUCCAGGUGCCACCAGGCUGGCUGGGGAGAAGGGACAAGAAGGAGCUGGGGGCCUGGACAAUUUCUCCCAGAUGAAGGCAUAUGUAAUACAGCAAGGCAAGUGUACAUACUCAGACCAAGGAAACCUUUGAAUGCAUGAUGAGGUGUGUAUGCUGAAGAGGUGGACGUGAGGCAGUGGGCAGCCAGCAUGUGCAGGGCAAGUGUAAGUACAUCAAGAGGGCACUCAUAGUCUCCCUACUGCCUGUGGUCAAUGCCUGAUGAAAACUUAGGACAUUCUUAGGUUCCUGUUCGUGGU